AAAUUAACCCUUCCCGAGGCUCCCCAAGGUAAAUUUAAGGUAGAUUUCCCUUAAAUAAAGCACUCUAGGGUAAGGUAAGGCAUUUAAAAUAUAUAUAAUGUUAAAUUUAUACCUGUGAUUAUGUUAUUUUAGGCAUUUCUAAGGUAAAUUAACCCUUCCUGAGGCUCCCUAAGGUAAAUUUAAGGUAGAUUUCCCUUAAAUAAAGCACUCUAGGGUAAGGUAAGGCAUUUAAAAUAUAUAUAAUGUUAAAUUUAUACCUGUGAUUAUGUUAUUUUAGGCAUUUCUAAGGUAAAUUAACCCUUCCUGAGGCUCCCUAAGGUAAAUUUAAGGUAGAUUUCCCUUAAAAUAGCACUGUAGGGCAAGGUAAGGCGUUUAAACAAUAUAUAAUGUAAAAUAUAAGGAAAUGGUCUUAUAUAGAUUAAAAAGGUAAAGUAUGUAAAUAAAAAUGAAGGAUAUAGUUUAAUUGUGAUAUUCUAUUCUAUUAUCUAUUGCAGGGAAGGUCAGGUUAUUAAUAAAUAGCGAGAUAUUAGUGAAGGGAUUAUCUAUGUGAUGGUGCGUUAUCGUACAUCUGACACAUCCAUCUGAAUGUAAACAAGAGAUUGUGAGGCCUUUCCUAACGUCCUCCAUCUGGUCCACCCCCCCCCCUUCCCCCCAUCUCUCUCUC